UCUCUAGUAAAGGAAACCAAUAGUGGCCUAUCUUUAUUCCCGCGCUUUUGUCACCUCCAUUAUUCGUGUAUUCACUGAUUCAGUAUUGUGUUGGAAGAUCUAUAUUUAAGGCUUAAGAAACUAAUUAUUUCGAAAGGAUGUUAGUACAACUUGGAUUUUUAGUUCCUGAGAAGUAUUAUAUGAUGGUGAUGGUAAAUGAAGGGCCUGGGACUUGAACUCUAUUGGAAAGACACCAUGAGGAGAGGGUCUAUUGGGUGAUGAUGUAACCUUACCGCCAUUCUUAACUCCACCAAAAGAAGAGCCAGCUGGAGAUCUAACCAUUAAGGGGACAUGAAUUGGUCAGAAGAUGAACAAAACCUGUCCAGCUUUGUCCACAGACCAACAAAAUGAGGCCUUAUUGGAAAUCCAUUCAUCUCAGCUGAUCAACAUUAUGGAGACAAAGGUCCUGCUGAUUAUGCAGAGACUAACUGUGCUUUAUAUAGGCUAGGAUAGCUUGACAUGGAGACAAAGAUUGUUGGGUCACUGAUCAAAGGUCAAGUUGAAGUCUGCUGACAUUCUCACUGCACAGGUGCUCCUUCUGUAUUAUGGUGGAUAUUGCUCCAAUAUGUUUUACAGACUAUAAAGCCUCAAAGUCAUAAAAUCUGGUAAUCUGUAAACAUUCCUAAGUUUCAUUUCCUGGUAGAAAUGUGUUAAAGAUGUGUUUAUAUAUUUUCACUUGUACUUUAAGUUAAUUUUAGACUCUGUAUGAACCUGUAAUAUGUUCGAAGAGUUGUUUUAUUUUUUGUAACACGUACAUCUCUACAAUUGUAUAUACUACAUUUCUAUUAAUUUUGUCAGCUGUUUCAACAGGUUAUGUAGAGACUUUUAAAACUACAUAAAUUAAAAAAAAAAUGCUGUUAAUAUCGUCAAUGAGCACAAGAAAAUAUGCAAAUAUACUAUCCAUCCUGCAUAAUUGUUCAGCUCAUUUCAUUUCCACGUGGCCAUGUUAAACCCUGAUCACAUCUUAUGUAAUGAUUGAUUGGCCAAGUCACUCAUCUCAGUGACAUUAAUAAGAGCAUGCAGGCUUAGAACAGUUAUCUAUUAGUUAAACAUAAUUAGUCCCAAUCUGUGACUCUGUGUAUAGAUCAUUAUCGUUUGUUCAUUAUGGGACUGCCAGAAUUAGGUACAACUCUGGGGUGGUGUUGGAAUCAAAUGCAUGCUCUGGUGUAAAAAUUGUGCACACCACACGAGACAUUUGAUGUUUAUGAUAUGUAUUGCAAAAUCUGUGUUAUGUUUGAAGUAUGUGCCACUUUGUUUGAAAUUGAAUGAACUUGCUUUAAUUACUUCCUUAUUAGAUUUAUUGAAGUGGCUAGAUGUUCCUGUUUUAUAACUUUUUUAUCUGACUUUGCAUUUUAUAUUGUUUUAAACAUAUAAAGAUGUAUUUUGCCAAUGGGGAAAAAAAAAUAAAUGUAUAAAAUUAUUGAAAUCUUUUUUGACUCAAAAGUAGGACAGUUGGUAGAAAGAAUGUGUGAGUGGUUUUAAAUAUAUUUUUUCCUCUCUGUCAGCAAGAAAUUGAGUAACAUUGUAAGUAGAUUAUACCAUUAGGUAACCCUAAUGUGUUAAAGGGAUUGCACUCUAUGACUGGAUUUUACAUUAGAUAUUAUACAGCCUUAGUGACAAAAUGUGUAUUAAAAAUCAGCUUAUUUCUGUCGGGUAAUAUAUAUGCAUAGGUUUGUAUUUCAGUACAGGUUAUUUGGUUGAACUGACCAAACAAGAUUAUUACAUCCUCAAUUGAAAUUUUUAUAUAAUUGCAUGUACAGGCAUCCACACAGGGUGAAGCUGCGUAUAAUACAAACUGGUGACAUGCGACAGUUUAUUUAUUAAUCCUGAACUGUUAUGUUUAUGUAGACGUAUAUGACAUUUCCUUGAUAUGAGCCGUUACAGAAUAUGCUUGUUUGACAUCCUUUACGUAAUAUUGACAAAUACCUCGUGUUACUUGCAUGUGCUGAUCACGACAAUUUUGCUUGAAAAAUAAACUCUACUGACAAAAAGCUUUUUUUUUUCAAAGUAAAUAUUAGUUGUUCUCAGUUAUUUUCCUUAAUUGUAAAAUUUAUGUAUGAUGUCAUUAAUUGUUAUUGUAAAUACAUGUAUAAAAAUG